rnacentral:tRNA from 1 species
GGACGGGUAGCUCAGUCGGCUAGAGCAUCUGGUUUACACCCAGAGGGCCGGGGGUUCGAGUCCCUCCCCGUCCACCA